rnacentral:rRNA from 1 species
UACGUAGGGUGCGAGCGUUGUCCGGAAUUACUGGGCGUAAAGAGCUCGUAGGUGGUUUGUCGCGUUGUUCGUGAAAACUCACAGCUCAACUGUGGGCGUGCGGGCGAUACGGGCAGACUGGAGUACUGCAGGGGAGACUGGAAUUCCUGGUGUAGCGGUGGAAUGCGCAGAUAUCGAGAGGAACACCUGCGGCGAAGGCGGGUUGCUGGGCCGACACUGACGCUGAUGCGGCGAAAGCCAGGGGGAGCGAACGGG